AUAUUAGUAGUAGUCGCAUCCAAAUCCAUACGAGUGUGAUGUGAUGCACAUGCACAUGGGUGUACUUAUAAGCUAAUAACACAUUAAAGUUAUCCACAUCUACACUCAGUUCCUCCAACAACUCCCACAACAGUACCAAAAAAAACAUUGAAAAAUGUCGAAGGAAGUGAUUGAAGAAGGCCACCAACCUCAUCACCACACUGGAAAAGACUAUGUUGAAAAUACAAGUCCUUCUACAUAACUCAUAACGGAGAAGAAGCAAACGGAACCAACCAAACCGUAGUAAACAAACCCUAAACACAUUGAUCCGCCAUAGUAAAAAAACCUCCAUCAUAUUACUAUAACCUGCAACUUGUUCACAAUUUCAUCUUGAAUUUCUUAGCUUAUUAUGUAGUAACAGUUACAGUAACAGGUACACUCCAACUAUUUGCUCUCAUAACCCCAACUGACAGUGACUCUCAAAGAGACUUUCUCCUCUGCAUCUUUCAUCUCUACAAGAAGCUCUUCAUCUUUCAACAAGGGCUCCCAUUCUCAUCAAGGACCUGGUAAAAGGAAACCAGGUGUGGAAAAUGCAUAUAAGGGUAGUGGACUUGUGGGUGGUUAAGGAAAAGUCAGGACAACAACACCUAGAAAUGGUUAUACAGGAUGGACAGGUAAUACUGUGGUAUACAUGUUUACACAUACCCUGUAUUCUGCUAAUUGUUAUUUCAUUUAAGUCUCAGGCCGACCAAAUUCAUGUCACCACUCGGAAUCGGGAUUUUAAAGAUUGGGUUGACCAGAUAAAGGAACAUGAAACUUAUUAUCUUUAUAAUGGGGAGCCAGUGGUUAAUGAUGGCCCUUUCAAAGUUUGU